UAAGACAGAGGCCCCGAGCGUUAGUCGGAAUUACUGGGCUUAAAGGGUGCGUAGGCGGACCUCUAAGUGUCGUGUGAAAGCCCAUGGCUUAACCAUGGAACCGCACGGCAAACUGGGGGUCUUGAGGAAGGUAGAGGCGGGUAGAACCAAUGGUGGAGCGGUGGAAUGCGUAGAUAUCAUUGGGAAUGCCGAAGGUGAAGACAGCCCGCUGGGCCUUUCCUGACGCUGAGGCACGAAAGCGUGGGGAGCAAACAGGAUUAGAUACCCUGGUAGUCCACGCCCUAAACGAUGUAUGCUGAAUCGGAGCGGCUCUGACGCCGUUCGGAUUGUAGAGAAAUUGUUAAGCAUACCGCCUGGGGAGUACGGUCGCAAGGCUA
rnacentral:rRNA from 1 species